rnacentral:rRNA from 1 species
GGGAGGCAGCAGUGAGGAAUAUUGGUCAAUGGGCGAGAGCCUGAACCAGCCAAGUAGCGUGAAGGACGACGGCCUACGGGUUGUAAACUUCUUUUAUAAGGGAAUAAGUUCGCCACGUGUGGUGUUUUGUAUGUACCUUAUGAAUAAGCAUCGGCUAAUUCCGUGCCAGCAGCCGCGGUAAUACGGAAGAUGCGAGCGUUAUCCGGAUUUAUUGGGUUUAAAGGGAGCGUAGGCGGGCUUUUAAGUCAGCGGUCAAAUGCCACGG